GGGGAUGUAAAGGUUUCGACAGGGGUUGUAAGCCUUGGUAAGCGAGUAGUGGUGCGGAACCACUAUAAAAUCCGUACUUUUUAAAUAAUAAACGACAACAAUAAAGUUGCUCUAGCUGCCUAAGUUGCAGCUCGUUGCUUUGGGAAGCACCACGGUCCCUAUGGCGGCGUCGAUUAGUGGUAAAUGUGAACGAAAAAUUGCCUCAUUUUUCGUCACACAGUAGAGGCUACCAAAACACCAAGCCUGUUAUUGGGCGUGAUGUUAAGGGAACUUUAAAACAAUAACUACACUCGUAGAAAGCCUUGGUAAAUGACUUUUGGACAGGGGUUCGAUUCCCCUCAUCUCCACCA
rnacentral:tmRNA from 1 species